rfam:Hordeum vulgare subsp. vulgare, WGS project CAJW01000000 data, contig: morex_contig_268507
UCAAUACUCCCUCCGUCCGAAAAUACUUGUCCCAAAAAUGUAUAUAAUGAAUGUAUUUAUAACUAAAAUAAGUCUAGAUACAUUCAUCUCUAGGACAAGUAUUUCUGGACGGAGGAAGUAGCUC